UACGUAGGGUCCGAGCGUUGUCCGGAGUUACUGGGCGUAAAGGGCGCGUAGGCGGCGCGGGUAGUCAUCGGUGAAAGUUCAGGGCUCAACUCUGAAUCGGCCGGUGAUACUCCCGUGCUCGAGCACUGUAGAGGCAGGUGGAAUUCCGGGUGUAGCGGUGGAAUGCGUAGAGAUCCGGAAGAACACCGGUGGCGAAGGCGGCCUGCUGGGCAGUAGCUGACGCUGAUGCGCGACAGCGUGGGGAGCAAACAGG
rnacentral:rRNA from 1 species